UUGACAUGACCUCCUUGGAACAUUCAGACUGGUAAGAGAAAAGAAUUAAACAUCAAAUCUUCCCUCAGGGACUCCAGAUAAGAGCCCAGGCCAAAGGACACCUUGAUUUUGACCUUGUCAGACCUGGAGUUGAAAAACCAGCUGCACCCUUCUAGAAUUCUUACUUACAAAACUGGAGAUGUUACAAGACAAGAUGAUUUCACUGGAAGCUGAGUUUUGCCAGCUUUGGGGAAAUGCUGAUGCAGAACAUCAUUUAUUUAAGGCUGAUACUCAUGGAUAGAAGAGUCAAAGUGCGAAUAUAUGCACCCUUCUAUACGGAUUCUGCAGAAAGAUAUGCUUGGGUCAUGACUCAGACAAUUUGGAGAGAAUUCCCUGAAACAUUCACUGUACAACUCUACUUUCUUGAAUACUUACUAUAAUUAAAGUUCAUUUCUGAUUUACAUAAAGACCAAUGAGCAUGCUAGAGAAUUUCUGCUUCAGGUAGUUAUUCAAGAAAACAGUACUAUGGAAGCUUUACCAUCUUCACUUUGUGGAUUUCAUAUCUAUUUCUACCUGGAAAAGAAGAGAAAGAUAGAGUACAAAAUUGCAAAAGGGGUUUUUAUAGGCAAUGACUUCAAGUGUAGCAUAUUACUUCUACCUGCAUUCCAUUGUCUGGAUGUGGAAUUCACUCAUAUGUGUACAUUUAACAGCAAGAAAGAUAGAGCUAGUUCCCUUAAGAAAAGAGAG
rnacentral:lncRNA from 1 species